UGGCUCAGUCAGGAGAGCGCUUGCCUUGCAAGCAUGAGGACCUGAGUUCAACCCCCAG
rnacentral:tRNA from 1 species